rnacentral:rRNA from 1 species
AAACCAACAGGGAUUGCCUCAGUAACGGCGAGUGAAGCGGCAAAAGCUCAAAUUUGAAAUCUGGUACCUUCGGUGCCCGAGUUGUAAUUUGGAGAGGGCAACUUUGGGGCCGUUCCUUGUCUAUGUUCCUUGGAACAGGACGUCAUAGAGGGUGAGAAUCCCGUGUGGCGAGGAGUGCGGUUCUUUGUAAAGUGCCUUCGAAGAGUCGAGUUGUUUGGGAAUGCAGCUCUAAGUGGGUGGUAAAUUCCAUCUAAAGCUAAAUAUUGGCGAGAGACCGAUAGCGAACAAGUACAGUGAUGGAAAGAUGAAAAGAACUUUGAAAAGAGAGUGAAAAAGUACGUGAAAUUGUUGAAAGGGAAGGGCAUUUGAUCAGACAUGGUGUUUUGUGCCCUCUGCUCCUUGUGGGUAGGGGAAUCUCGCAUUUCACUGGGCCAGCAUCAGUUUUGGUGGCAGGAUAAAUCCAUAGGAAUGUAGCUUGCCUCGGUAAGUAUUAUAGCCUGUGGGAAUACUGCC